rnacentral:rRNA from 1 species
ACAUGCCUACAACAUAGCGUUAAUGCACCAGAUCACAUUAGAAAUUCACAGUUAAGCGCGCUCAGGCUAUAGUACCAGGAUUGGUGACCGCCCGGGAAGUCCUAGUGUUUUACAUGUC